AAAUUGAAGAGUUUGAUCAUGGCUCAGAUUGAACGCUGGCGGCAGGCCUAACACAUGCAAGUCGAACGGUAACAGGAAGCAGCUUGCUGCUUCGCUGACGAGUGGCGGACGGGUGAGUAAUGUCUGGGAAACUGCCUGAUGGAGGGGGAUAACUACUGGAAACGGUGGCUAAUACCGCAUAACGUCGCAAGACCAAAGAGGGGGACCUUCGGGCCUCUUGCCAUCAGAUGUGCCCAGAUGGGAUUAGCUUGUUGGUGAGGUAACGGCUCACCAAGGCGACGAUCCCUAGCUGGUCUGAGAGGAUGACCAGCCACACUGGAACUGAGACACGGUCCAGACUCCUACGGGAGGCAGCAGUGGGGAAUAUUGCACAAUGGGCGCAAGCCUGAUGCAGCCAUGCCGCGUGUAUGAAGAAGGCCUUCGGGUUGUAAAGUACUUUCAGCGGGGAGGAAGGUGUUGUG
rnacentral:rRNA from 7 species